rnacentral:piRNA from 1 species
UUCAACGAAAGGGCACAAGCAACCAGA